GCGACCUCCUGGCCUCAGCCCCAUUCAUCAGAUGGCAACAGACCUCGCACUGGCUUUCCCAGGAUGCUUGUAAGCAUAAAAUAAGAUAGGGGCGCCCGGGGGCUCAGCGGUGGAGCGGCUGCCAUCAGCCCAGGGCGUGACCCCGGGUCCCGGGAUCGAGUCCUGCCUCAGGCUCCCUGCAGGGCCUGCUCUCCCUCUGCCUGGGUCUGCCUCUCUCUCUGUGCGUCUCUCAUGAAUAAAUAAAAUCAUAAAUAAAUAAAAUCAUAAAUAAAUAAAAUCAUAAAUAAAUAAAUAAAUAAAUAAAUAAAUAAAUAAAUAAAUCAAGAUAGAACAUAGCAUUUAGCGCAGUUCCUGGAGGAGAGUGAAGGUCAAAUCACUAGCAUUGCUUCCAGAAAGCUGUAUUUUCAUCCAGGUGCAAGCCGUCCGGGGGAGCUGGUCGUGGAUCCUUCUUUUCGAGACCUGCGGGGAUGCGAUUUCCACGGGCUCCCACGCUGUGAGCUUGCACACGUUUCCUUCUGCCCACAGAGCCUGCUCCGGGGCCACCGGGCCUCGGCCAUCAGCCGUGAGGACACGUGGUCGGCUUCAUCUUGGCGAUUCUUUGACCUCGUCCUCUGCAGUUUUUAAAAUCAAGCCAUUGGAUCCAAAGUCGUAAAUAUCUUUAAGGACCCACGACACAUUCUCAAGCUGCCAUCUUGGAGGGUUGCACCAACAAUGCGUGAAACUAUUCAUGCCAUCCUCAAAUUAUAUGAAUUUUUAUUAACAUCUACUAUUUUCAUAGAAAAAAAAACAGCAUCUCGUUGGAUUUCUUUGGUGAGUUAGCUUUUUGUAGUUCUUUCUUGAAUCAUAACCUUGACCUCUUUUUCCAUUGAAAGCUUAAUGUUAAAAAAAAAGGAAAGCUUAAUGUUGACUCAUGUUCUUGAAUGAAUAUUUUAUUUUAUUUUAUUUUUGAAUGAAUAUUUUAAAUUUAGUUUAUUUUUUCUGGGUAAUAUAUAACCAUAAAUUAACAUUUAAUAGUUGAUUGUAAUAUGAACUCCUACUUCCUGCCCACCCCCCCAAUCAUAACCACAGAAUGCCUCUUUAAGAGAUUUCUUUAAAGAGCCAUUUCUUCUAGUUUUCUCUAAGUACCAUGCUUUUUUUCUGCCUCUUUCAAAUUCAUAAAGCUAUAAUUUAAACACAAUAAAAUGCAUAUAUUUUAACUGUACUGUUAAAUUUUAACUGUUCAAUGAGGUUUUUUUACUGGAGCAAAAAAAUAUAUAAAAUUUACCAUCUUAACCAUUUUUUUUAA
rnacentral:lncRNA from 1 species